CUACGUGCCAGCAGCCGCGGUAAUACGGAAGGUCCGGGCGUUAUCCGGAUUUAUUGGGUUUAAAGGGAGCGUAGGCCGGAGAUUAAGUGUGUUGUGAAAUGUAGACGCUCAACGUCUGACUUGCAGCGCAUACUGGUUUCCUUGAGUACGCACAACGUUGGCGGAAUUCGUCGUGUAGCGGUGAAAUGCUUAGAUAUGACGAAGAACUCCGAUUGCGAAGGCAGCUGACGGGAGCGCAACUGACGCUUAAGCUCGAAGGUGCGGGUAUCGAACAGGAUUAGAUACCCUGGUAGUCCGCACAGUAAACGAUGGAUGCCCGCUGUUGGUACCUGGUAUCAGCGGCUAAGCGAAAGCAUUAAGCAUCCCACCUGGGGAGUACGCCGGCAACGGUGAAACUCAAAGGAAUUGACGGGGGCCCGCACAAGCGGAGGAACAUGUGGUUUAAUUCGAAGCAACGCGAAGAACCUUACCAGGUCUUGACAUCCCUCUGACCGCUCUAGAGAUAGAGCUUUC
rnacentral:rRNA from 1 species